GCCUGACCAAAGUAUGCCACAUGCCAAACGAAAAAAUUAUGAAACAAUAAAUAAAAUGCUAAUUGACGAUCGUUAUUUAAUACCAAAAGUAAAGCAAGUCGCAAAUACGGUUUUACUCUCACUUUUUAGGCCCUACAAAAAAUGGUUUAUUAUGGAACCGUCACUUGAGGCAAUUGCAGAGCAUUAAUAAUCUUACGGAAAGCCUACAAUCAUUUGUUAUAGCUGCUAUGGCUUAUAAUGGGAAAAGAUUAUGCAAAUCUCAAGCUGGAGUAUGUCAAUUUAUAUUAAUUUGUGUCUGUGUCUUCCGGAUAAGAAUAAAACACUCUGCAGUGUUUAUAUAUUCUUUUGA
rnacentral:sRNA from 15 species